ACCAGAUGAAUUCUAGUUGUGCAGGAAGAUGCCUCGUUCUCCUCACUUUAUCCAAGGGAGCCCUCCUGAAAGACCUGACAGAGUGGCUGAUAAAUCUUCCGUCUAAAUGGCAGAUUCCAAACAAUAGAGCCAACCCAAGUACGUCAGAGCCGGAAAUAUAAUAUGCCCUCUCGUUCUCGGUGCUCUCUUGUAAAAGAUGGUACACACAUAUGCUGACAGCGGAGUGACUUUUAAGAAACUUGGAGCUCUGCAUGAGGAAGAAAAUGAGGCUCUGGGCUUCCUCCCAGUUGCUCAGUUCUUUCCCUUGAAGGAUCUUUUAAUUACCAUCCUCUGGACUAACCAACCAAGCUGCAACACCCUGAAAGCAGCUGAGAGAGUCUUCCUUCCACGACCGUCAAGUGCAGCCUCAGCACGUUUCUCUGCCUAUGGAAGCAGUUUCUGUCAGCCGCUUCCUGCCAAAGCCCUGCGCUGAAUGGAGGAUGUUGUUUCUGAUGCCACUUCAUGAUCCCAAAGAACAGAAAACUUUAAAGGGAAUAUCUUCAGAACUGAAAAUUGUAUGUAAAAUAAAAACAGCAGCUACCAGGGGA